CACAGAGUAAGCAGAGCUCUUCCUAGACUGCCCGAUUAUUUUGGGGUGGCCCGGGGAGCGGGCUGAUGGAGAUUAUGCGGAUAUGCCAUGGGAAUCCCAGAGUCUAGGAAGUGGAAACAAAUCUUUGAUGAAUUUGUUGGCUACAAUAAUGAACAUGGGAAGAAAAGAAAGGAGAAAAGGUAUUCUACGAGAGAUUGGGGAGACAAAACCAAGGGGAAAAAACAGGAUCAAAAAUGACAGUAAACGCCGGGGAAGAGAAAAGGCAGAACAUAGAAAAGAAGAGCAAGAAGCGGAAUUGAACGAAGACGGGGCAGGACACUAGGAGCCCGAGGCUGGGCAUCCGGCCUCUCAUUUCAUCCCACAGGGAGCCCGCGGAGAAGGCGUCUUCGGUCCCGUUUCACGGGUUGGAAACAUCGACCUUAAGAGGGGAAAUGAAACUUCUAGCUAAGAUCUCCAAAAUAAACCUUGAUGGAUCAUGAAAAAAGGAUGAAUCAUGAGGAAGGGGACCUCUAUAUUUCUUACCAGCUCUGAGAAAGGUCUCAUCUGGAAAGCUGAGCUGGUGUCUGGGGACUGUGCUCUAAAGACAGUGCUGUUGUUCUGGCCAGCACUGGGUGAGAAGGUGCCAGGAAGUAAAGGGCCUGGAAACCACAUUAUUAAAGCCUAGGAAAGCUUAUUUUGGAAAAAGUUUCCACCUUAAGAAAAAUUGAAUGCACUGAGGAAAGGCUAUGUAGGGAUCCAGCAAGAAGGAAACCUUCUGUAAACCAGCAAGAGAGAUCACACCAGACCCUGACCAGGCUGACACCUUGAUGUUGGACUUCAGCUUUCAAAACUGCUACUUGCAGAACAGAAAGGAAGCUGCAGCUGUUUUGAAGCUGUGGAGCUUUUCUGGAUAAAGUUCAGGGACAACCUCAUGACUAAAAG